rnacentral:rRNA from 1 species
CCCAAGCGUUAUCCGGAUUCAUUGGGUUUCAAGGGUGCGUAGGCGGGCCUAUAAGUCAGUGGUGAAAGCCCUUCGCUUAACGAAGGAAUUGCCAUUGAUACUGUAGGUCUUGAGUACAGUUGAGGUGGGCGGAAUGUGUCAUGUAGCGGUGAAAUGCUUAGAUAUGACACAGAACACCGAUGGCGAAGGCAGCUCGCUAAACUGUAACUGACGCUGAGGCACGAAAGCGUGGGUAGCAAACAGG